rnacentral:rRNA from 1 species
UACGUAGGGUGCGAGCGUUAAUCGGAAUUACUGGGCGUAAAGCGUGCGCAGGCGGUUUUGUAAGACAGGCGUGAAAUCCCCGGGCUCAACCUGGGAAUGGUGCUUGUGACUGCAUAGCUAGAGUACGGUAGAGGGGGAUGGAAUUCCGCGUGUAGCAGUGAAAUGCGUAGAUAUGCGGAGGAACACCGAUGGCGAAGGCAAUCCCCUGGACCUGUACUGACGCUCAUGCACGAAAGCGUGGGGAGCAAAC